GGUUCUUCAGCCUCGUUCCCGGGUAGUAUAAAGAUUGCUGUCUCCUUUGUUCGCCCUCGUUGCGCAGUCGUCCUAGCGUCAUUUCUGUUCAGUUCUGAGAAUCGGUAGCUGUCACUUGUGCGGCGCUGCUCUGGAGGCCCCGUCCAGCGAGCUCAUAGGAGCUUGAGACCGUCGCAGUCCCCUCGGCAGACCCCCGUCAGUUGAGAGGAAAAAUGGUUGAAGCAGAUCGCCCAGGAAAGCUCUUUAUUGGUGGGCUUAAUACAGAAACAAAUGAGAAGGCCCUCGAGGCAGUGUUUGGCAAAUAUGGACGAAUAGUAGAAGUGCUUUUGAUGAAGGACCGAGAAACCAAUAAGUCAAGAGGAUUCGCAUUUGUCACCUUUGAAAGCCCAGCAGAUGCAAAGGAUGCUGCCAGAGACAUGAAUGGAAAGUCCUUAGAUGGAAAAGCCAUCAAGGUGGAGCAAGCCACCAAACCAUCAUUUGAAAGUGGUAGACGUGGACUGCCUCCACCUCCAAGAAGCAGAGGCCCUCCUAGAGGUCUUCGAGGAGGAAGAGGAGGAAGUGGAGGAACCAGAGGACCCCCCUCACGGGGAGGACACAUGGAUGAUGGUGGCUAUUCCAUGGAUUUUACCCUGAGUUCUUCGAGAGGACCUCUUCCAGUAAAAAGAGGACCACUGCCACGAAGUGGAGGUCCUCCUCCUAAAAGAUCAGCACCUUCAGGACCAGUUCGUAGCAGCAGUGGAAUGGGAGGAAGAGCCCCUGUGUCACGUGGAAGAGAUGGUUACGGAGGUCCGCCACGAAGGGAGCCGCUGCCUUCUCGUAGAGAUGUUUAUUUGUCCCCGAGAGAUGAUGGAUAUUCCACUAAAGACAGUUAUUCAAGCAGAGACUAUCCAAGUUCUCGAGAUACGCGAGAUUAUGUGCCACCACCAAGAGAUUAUACUUACCGUGAUUAUGGUCAUUCCAGUUCACGAGAUGACUAUCCAUCAAGAGGCUAUAGUGAUAGAGACGGAUAUGGCCGGGAUCGUGACUAUUCAGAUCAUCCAAGUGGAGGCUCCUACAGAGAUUCGUAUGAGAGUUAUGGUAACUCACGUAGUGCUCCACCUACACGAGGGCCCCCGCCAUCUUAUGGUGGAAGCAGUCGCUAUGAUGAUUACAGCAGCUCACGUGACGGAUAUGGUGGAAGUCGAGACAGUUACUCAAGCAGCCGAAGUGAUCUCUACUCAAGUGGUCGUGAUCGCGUGGGCAGACAAGAACGAGGGCUUCCCCCUUCUAUGGAAAGGGGGUACCCUCCUCCACGUGAUUCCUACAGCAGUUCAAGCCGCGGAGCACCAAGAGGUGGUGGCCGUGGAGGAAGCCGAUCUGAUAGAGGGGGAGGCAGAAGCAGAUACUAGGAACAAACAAAACUUGGACCAAAAAUCCCCAUUCAAAGAAACAAACAAAAAUGGAAACUUUGUCAUAAACUACCCAAGAACUACUAAAAGGAAAGAUUGUGUUACCUUUUUAAAAUUUCCUAUUCCCCUUAAUAAUUUUUAUGUUCUUGUGAGGGAAAAAGUAAGACAUGAUUAAUUUUAUUUGCUAUUAUGAGUUGCUUUCAACAAGCAAAUGGUAGAGAUGUGUAAGCCUUGACUUGUUACUAGUGUUGUACUUUUCCAAGUAAAAGUGUCCCUGAAGGCCACUUCCUGAUUUUUUUCUAGUCAAUGAGGCAAGCAAUCCCAAGAUCUUCCACAAACGUUCAGCCAUCUAGAUGUCCUUUGGUCUCCAUUGAGAGAUGAAUCACCCUUCCUGUGCAGACAAGCUAGCCAUUAGAGAGGGUUGGUUGGGUGUGCUACUUUCAGGAUUUUAUGGUGUCUUCCAACUGAAAUCUCAAUGUUCGAAGUAUAUAUAUUAAAACAAACAAACAAACCUGAGAUCCGAUGCCUAGGGAUGUACUAUUUACCCAGAAACCCAACAAAAAAAGCAAAUGGAUACUGGCCAUAUUUUGCUUUUCUGACAUUUCCUUGGGAAUCUACAAGAACCUCCCUUCCCCUCCCUGAGUAAGACCAUUUAAGUGUGUGUUAAAGAACUACAAAAUACUCAAUAAAAAGUUUGGCCAAAAUCAACCAUGAAGCUGCAAAACGAUGCUUGCUCUUACUGUUUCAAAUUUUUGCAACUCUGUAGUGUCUCACUUUUAAAGGAACAGCUUGAUUGCAAAGGAGAAAAUAGAUAAGCAAUGAAGUUAUCUCCAACUUCCUAAAGGCUUAUGACUUCUAAAAAGUGAAUCUAUCAGCAUUCCACAUCAGAUUUAAAGCACCAAAUGCCUGUGAAACCGCAAAGAUGGUUGAACCUAAUGGUCAUUUGGUCAUGGAGUGCUGAUUGAUUCACAGUAGAUAAAGCUGGCAGUAAGGAACAGUCAGAUGCUCAGAGUUGUUGAAGCAGAGGAAUGCUGAGACUAAGCCACAGCAGUUGCUUGCCCAGUGCGCAGCAGAAUUGGUUUGGUACAGGCAAUAGAUUUUUUUUUGUCUUCAAGGGAGGGAGGCUGAUUAAACCUAAUCUCAGUGCUGGUUAACCCUUUAGGGAGUGGUGAUCACUUAAAAACUGACUGGAUAGAGGGAGACUAAUUGUUAAGUGGAGGCACCUACUCAAGAAGUUCCGGUGACUCUUUGUAGACGUUCAGUGGUUCCGACAAAGUAAUGGAGCAACUCUUCAAUUUAGAGCUGAUCACUGACUAGAGGAAACUUGAAUUAUCUGGGACUGUAACUCCAUGGUGGAAUGCUUGCCUGAGUACCAGUGAGGCCUAGAGUUCAACCCCUGGCAGAACACACAGAAACACUUCAGUCAUAAAAAUUACACCUCGGUGGUAACUUUAUUCAUUGAUGUCUGAUUUUCAGAAGGAACCCAUUUGAUGAAUUGCCUCAUCAGUAAGAAACAUAACUAGUUGUCCUGUAAAACUUAGAAGGGGAAGGGCAGUGCUGGGAAAUGAAAGCAAAAACUGGAAACAUUGUUAGACUAGUGGAAAGCAUAUUGAAAACAAAAAUAGGUCACUGGGUCAUUGUAGUUUUAUAAAGGUACUUUACCCUCAGGUCUCCGUCUUGAAAACGAAUCAUGAUACAGCUCUAGUUUACUGCUUUGGAAAUUAAGAACCAGUAAUGUAAAUGCAGAUAUUUUCAACAGAAGCAGGUUGAGUUAUAGGGUCAAAGAAUUUAACUCAACUUCUGUGAUUUUUCUUAAGAAUUUGUUACAAUACUGUUAUAGUUGAGGGAAUUUCAAGACUUUAAUACUCUAAUCAGGCCUGGAGUGGGUUCUUCUGUCAAGACCUUUAGGCUCUUGAUAUUUUAUGUAGAUUUUUUUAGUUUGUCAUGGACAAUGCUACACUGAAUACGAAUAUUAAAUUCAAAGUAGGGAGUAGAUGGAAAAUUUUAAGAGACUUUUUUGACAAAUGGUAGAAUAUAGAACCAGCAGGCCUAAAAUUUGCAAUUAGAAAAAAAUUAGCCUUGAUUCUUCUGGCUAAAGUCUGGUUGUAGAAGAAUUUAAAUACAGAAAGUGUUGUGGUGUGUUUGGUCGCUGGAUGUAGAACAUAGGUAUUAUAGAUCAUUUUUUGGAAUGUUUCGCAUUGAAACCCAAUAAAACUUGAACAUGUG